UCUCGUUUCUCGUUUUUUUUUAUAGAUUAGACCGUUGGUUUUGCCGUUUGAAUGGUGUUACACUAAUAUUUUAUUGGGCCCUUUAUAGUUUGUUGUUCGGUGUGAGCCAAGACUCUGUGUUGAAGGCCAUAACUUGACCUAUAAUGGUUUACAAUUAUAAAUUGUUAUUUGUAUGGAGAGUUGUCUCAUUGGCACUCAUACCACAUCUUGCUAUAUCUAGUUCAUUAAAAUAUACAGCCGAUUAAAUUUACAGAUUAUGAAAUUAUACAGACAAUGAAC
rnacentral:lncRNA from 1 species